UGGAGGCUAAAGCUACAUUCUGUACUAAUUGUGUAAUUUGCAUGACAUUUGUCAUUCCCUUAUUUGAAAAAAACUGAGCAACAAUAACAACAACAAAACUAAUAAGAAAAUGCUCUGGUCUUUGGAUUUCUAAGGAUUCUCUUGGGUCUACAGGAAAACUGGGCGCUGACUCCUGGCUCCCCCAAACAGAGAUGACAUUUGGGAUGGGAAUCUGGUCACCGGGUGAGACUGACCAUGUACUUGGAAGAUUCCAGAAAGCAGACUCUGCCUUGCUGGUUUUGGUGAAACCCGCUGCCGUGUUGUGAGCUGCUCCAGGGAGAGGCCCAUGUGGCAGGGAACUGGGAGCAGCAACACUGAGACCCACAGCCCAACAGCCCACAAGGAGUGGGAUCCUGCCAACAGCCACGUCCACGAGCUAGGAAGUGAAUCUUUCCUCAGUAAAGUCUCCGCAUGAGACCUCAGCAUCAGCUCCUACCUUGACCACAGCUCUGUAGAAGACUGUGCCCAGCUAAGCCGUGCUCUCACGGACCCCUGGCCCCCAGAACUGUGACCGAAUACACAUGUGUGGACUGAAGUUACGUGGCCACAAGUAACUGACACCAAGUUCUAAGCUUGGUGCAUAAUGAAUGCUCACAAAGGAUGGCUGAGCAUAUCACCACAGUAGACACCUCCACAUCACCCUCCACCAGAGCGGAACUCUACCCGCCUGCAGGAUCUGAGCUCCCUGGGGCAUAGGACACAUUGGUAUGUUUACCCGGUGUUGAGCAGUCAUCCAGAACUGCAACGAUGGGCCAGGCUGGUGCCUGGAGUGAAGAUACUGCAGAAGUCCAACCUGUUUCUAGUGGGGAGACAGACAUGAAAUACACAUGAUAUAGAUGAUGCUACAGUUACAGAUGUCUGUGGGAUACAGAGGUUUACACAUGCAUGGACAACACUGUAACAAUCAUUGCUCCGUGCGGAGCACUUAUGGAGGACCACACACGGCAGUAAAGGCUUGUAUGCAGCAUCACACUUCAUUGCCAGAGGGACACUAGCAUCAGUGUGCCCACUUGAUGUGAGGGAAACUCAGACCGGGGAGGUUCACAGACCCAGGGUUCAAGUCCAGUCUGUGCCUCCAGAAUCUCCCCUCUCUUCACCAUGCUUUCUGCCUCACUUCAUUUACCUUUAUUAAUUGCUUCAUUCAGACCCUCUCUGUUUUCUUUGCCACCUAAUGGACCCAUCGAAGAGACUGGGAGCACUGUGUUAGGAGCCUUGGACUCCAGUGGCUUGGGUGAUAAUGCGGCCUAUGGAUCUGCCCCUCUGUUGACUAGCACUCAGGAAGGCUGCCUCAGAGUACAUAUCAGUUCUCACAAACAUGACGGCUGGGGCCACUGAAGGCCUUGGGAGUGUGUAGAUCAGUAGUUCUCAGCUGGGGGCGAUUUUGCCUCCCCAGGGGGCAUUUGACAAUGUCUAGCCACAUUUUUGGUUGUCACAGAUGAAGGAGAUGGUGCUACUGGCAUCUAGUGGGUAAGGCCAGGGAUGCUGCUAAGGAUCCUAUAACACAUGAGGCCACCUCAAGACAAAGAAUGACAUGACCCAACGUUGAAUAGUCCUGUUUUAGAUGAAAGACAAACCCCUUGGAGACGGUGUGUGUGUGUGUGUGUGUGUGUGUGUGUGAGAGAGAGAGAGAGAGAGAGAGAGAGAGAGAACUUGGGAAUGAAAAGGAAUCAGUCUUUUAGGGCUCACCAAAGGCAGUCAUGUCCACUCUAGUGAGAAUCACUAAGAGUCUUUUCUUCUGAGUUUGGAAGUCUAGCUCUAAGGUUAUUAAAAAAAAGAAAUGAAGUUUUCAUAAGCAGAGAGUGUAAUUAAUGGCCACAGGCUGUGAGUGCUUCAUUUACACUGAGGUUGCCCAGGUCCCCACUUGCUUUUGUGAUACCAUUUGUGAUAAUGCUACCUCCACGGGUUGAAGAUCUACCUCUGCUCUAGAAAUGAGAACAGCACACUGGGCACAGUUCUGGGGUUGAGGCAAGAUUUCUGGGAGCGUGUUUCAGCCAUUCCUAAAGAGAAAUUCUCUAAAGAAGGUAGCAUUUCAGUUGCGGAGUAAACAGGUUCGUUGGUGAUCACAGAGAAACCAGGCGUAUGUUGAGUGCCUCCCACACACCAGAUGCUGCCCUAAGCCCUCUGCAUCUCUUAAAUCCUCGUAACCACUUUAUGAGAUGGGAAUUGCCAUUAUGCCCAUUUGACAGAUGCAAAUUGAGGCACAGAGGGGUUCUGGAAGCUGCUUGAGGUCCCCCAGGCCAGACGGGUGAGAAUCUGGAUUCAAACUUAGGCCAGCUGCCUCCAGGACCCACACCCCAAGGCAUCUUCGCCCUAUGACCUCCGCAAUUGUUAUCUACCAGCAACUUUUUUCUCCACAUUUAGAAAUUCAAGACCUUAAUGUAGAAUUCUAUAUGAGGAAAUGGAUUUUUAUUGGCUGGGAAUGUUUGGUUUUCAGGUCUGCUAUUCAUUCAAGUGCCUCUUUGCUCCUUUCCUGGUUCCAAAUUGGCCACAAGAGAUUGUUUCCCUGUAGACUGUAUGAGUUGGUAUUCACGUGAUGAUCCCUUUGGCAAAAUGCACUCAGAAGGGUUCCUGUUCUCACUCAUGCACAUUCCCUCCUGAUUCUGUUUCUGUUCCUGAUAAUUUAGUUUCAAGAUCAUGUACAUAGCCAGCUUUCUCUUUAUACACCUAGGACCAGGCCGUCCGCCCACGGCAAUUUCAUUCUCCAUAUUAUUGUUCCUCCAGACAGAAACAAGAGCCCACUCGUCCAGACCCAAAGUCCUGGGCACAUCACAAGAUGUGCAGAAUUCAUGGCCCAAGGGCCUGAUGACUCCAGAAACCCCAAAUCCAUAUAUGGCUUCAUCCCAAGGAUUAAAGAGUUUUGAUCCUUCAUCCCGCUCAGCAAAAGAGACUUUGAUUGGCAGAGCCAGAGUCGAAAGGAGUUCUUAAAUCAGACUCUUCAUGCCAGAGUGCGAAUACAUAAUCUCACGCGUUUGCCAGGAAACACAAUACAUCAUCAUCCAUAAUCAUAAUACGGCGUCAUACAUCACCUGCUCAUAAUAAAUAGCGUAUCAUCUGCUCAUAAUAUUUUAUCAUAUAAUAUCAUGACAUCUGCUCACAACAGCAUAUAUUAUGUGAUCAACACUCAGCAUUUCCUCCUAGAAGGUGCGUCCCCGGAUAUAUUUGUUUAAAAAAAAAAAAUAGGUACCGCUGACUUUUCUUAGACCGUGGGGAGUAUGUCACCGGUCCUGGAGGCGGGCUUGAAAGGAGCUGGAAGGACCAUCACACUACAUCGCCUCUAGCUCCUCAUCCACGACACGGAGUUGAGGCUAGACAGAUGGCAAACACCUUCGUGAGCUCACGUCCCGUGACAAUAAAGCUGGUUAAGCAGCGGGUACCUAGAAGUUACCUUGUAUGCGUGUUUGAACACAUGGUCCCCAAAUUCUUGGAUGUCUCUCCACUGAGUGGGGAGUGUCGGUGUUCUUCCUCUUCGAUGUGGGUCUGUAACCGAGGAGACCCAUCGAAUCGCGAGGAGGUGAUGCUGGGCCACCAUGAGAAGUCUGAAGCCACCAAGCUGGGAGGAAGCCCGAGUCACAUGGGGAGACCAUGUGUAGGACUCCAGCUGACAAGCCUCUCCUUCGAGGCACUCCAGCUCCAGGUUCCAGACACACAAGUGAAGAUGCUUCCAGAUGAUUCCAGGCCCCCAGCUGCUGUGUUAUCGCCAGCCUUCCCGUGACCCCAGACAGCCAAGGUCCCAGACGGCAGGGAGCGGGCACGAGCCAUCCUCAGCGGGCCCUAUCAGAAGUGCCAGCUCGCAGAUUCUGGGUUGUGUUACAUCAUUACAUUGGGAAGUCACUCAGGCAACAAGAGAAGCUAGGACAGUAUGCCUGGGGGCCACGUAGACAGGCAGAUAGUAAUAGUGGCAAUGAUAAUAAUAAUAAUGUCCACAUUUAGGGAGGGCUUCUACUACCCUAGGAUAUGAAUGGGAUUGUUAUCAUUUGUGUUUGACAGCUAAGAAAACUGAGGCACAUGGAUUCAGUCAACAAACAGGGACUAAGAACCUACACCCAGCAGACACUAGCUUGGGGGCUGCCAAUUGGAUGAAGUAGAUGAAGAGCCUUAUCACUGCGGGAAUUCCAUUCUUACAGGGAGAAGCAAAGCAUAAAAAAGAAACAGAAAGGGGCGCCUAUGUGGCUCCGUGGGUUAAAGCCUCUGCCUUCGGCUCAGGUCAUGAUCUCAGGGUCUUGGGAUCGAGCCCCACAUUGGGCUCUCUGUUCAAUAGAGAACCUGCAUCCCCCUCUAUCUCUGCCUCCCUCUCUGCCUAGUUGUGAUCUCUGUCUGUCAAAUAAAUAAAUAAAUUAUUUUUAAAAAGAAAAAAAGAAAGAAAGAAACAGAAAAAAUCAGCAAUGCCCAAGUCAAGAAUGCAAUACUUGGAGCCCACGAAACCUGACUCAGGACAUAGGGGUCUGCUAGCCAUCGAGACCUCCUGGACAUGCAGGAUGGAGAAAUACUUAUCCCCACGUACGUUUACUAUGCCCUGAGAUAGACCAAAAGGUGACUCGAGAUGCUAACGCACGUUGACAACAGUGGUGCUGCCCUCACCGUGACGGACGCCAUCCUCCAGAAGCCUGGCUGGCCUGGGAGCUGGGUAGAAAUGCACAGUCUCGGGCCUCCCCCCAGACCUGCUGAGCCAGGCUGCAGCUGAGGAGGUGGUCGGGGUUUGCUGCUUCUAAGUGGAAGGGAGAGAGCAUCCCGGGUCUUUAAGGGGGGCCGGCUCACAAUGGCAGACAAGCAAGAGUCACGCAGGACAUGCUCAAAUGACAGGGGCACCCAGGUGCAGGUCACCGUCCUCACACACACUCGGUGGGGGACCCUCAGAACUUCCAGAGUUGGACCCUGGCAAAUCGGGCAUUUCUGUUCUGUUGACAAUCGCUUGUCUGGGGGCAUCCCGGCACCCCUCCCAAUGUGAGAAUUUCUAUCAGGCUAAUAUUUUUAAAACAGACUUGUCUUUAUUUACUGUAUUCUUUAAAAUUUCAUAGGGAAUCACCAAGAAGUGCAAUUACCGAAGUAUAUAUGUAUUUUUAUGCUUGUGUUGAGCAUCUAAUCUUUUUGUUUCUUAAUCCUGUCUUUAAAAAAUUUAUGUACAAGCCCAUACAUAUUUCCUCGCCGUCACUGCUAGAAAUUAGAGACAUAUUUACAGAGAAACACUUUAAAAAAUAAAAUUAAAAAUGACUCAAUUCCAGGA